GCGCGGUGACGGCUCCAGGUGGCUGGUUGUCCGCUCUCCACCACAGCUCCUACCACACUGGCUGCUGCUCCCUGGUACACCCACACACGGUACCAAGGGCAUGUCUGUCCCAGUCAACAUUACGGCAGUUCCAGAUCAGUCAAGCAGAUGAAGUGGUGGUGGUACUGUGAUGGAGCACUAUAACCCUGCCAUAUUGUGACAACAUGUACAUGGGGGAAACAAUCCAGAACUUAUAUCCGAGGAUUUACCAACACAAGAAACAGUUCGAUUCUGUAGAUCCUGUCCUGCAACUCGCAAAACAUGAGCCAGCCUACCAUCUCCUAUAUCUUUGAUGCUCCGUUCCCCUGGUAACUCCUAUUCUACAGGGGGAAAGAACCCACAUGUCGA